GUCCUCACCACUCACAGUUUCCUCCCCUUAGAGACGACUCUGCCCUUGAAUGUCCGAUGUUCUUCUGACCAGUAACAAUGGCAGGAAUAAUGACACGCAGUUUGGCCAUCAGUAACUGAGCACUUCAGGACCCAGCAGAAAGUCACCCUGUGUCGGAAGAACAGAGGUUACUUGGAGUAGUAGCCAUCCUUCCCUGAUGGUUACCUUCCUACCUGCUGUGCUCUAGUCAGUGUAAGUUCAUCUACCCCCU
rnacentral:lncRNA from 1 species